AGCCUUCGAUUCAACUAAUCUCUUCCUGGUAAAAACAGCAAUGGCACUAUGAGGACCUUUCAAGCAGGGGUGAAAUCCAGCAGGUUCUGACAGGAUCUGGAGAACCUAGAACCCUGUUAUUAAGCUGGUUAUUAAGACCAGCUGCCUGCAAUUACUGCAGGUUCGAAUCUCGCCAAGGCUCAAGGUUGACUCAGCCUUCCAUCCUUUCUAAGAAUUCUCAGAAACGAUGAGGAUGACGACAACACACAAGAUAAUGAGAUUGUAUAAAAAGAAACAGGCACUGGAAAGUCCCCUCCUCCUCGCAUUUAAUUAAGUCCUGAAGAAGGAUCAUUAGUGGAAAAACAGAAAUGUGUGUGUGUGAGAGCAAAGAUGUGAAAAUUUAAUGCUUAAAAAAUAAGAAUUCCACAUCAAUCCAAUAUCUCCAUGCUGUGAGAAUGGAACAAACCUAGGGGGAAAGUAUAAUAUUCCAAGAAACUGCAGCACUGUACAACAG